UAUUUAGACCUAUGCAAUAGGACUUUAGGGUAACGCUUCAGGGUAGGAAUACAGCAGAGUCCCCUAAUUUCUUGUGUG
rnacentral:SRP_RNA from 1 species